rnacentral:rRNA from 1 species
CAUGACUGGGGUGAAGUCGUAACAAGGUAGCGCUAGGGGAACCUGGCGCUGGAUCACCUCCUUAAACGAUGAU